AAAGCAGACCUCUAUUUGCCUAAACCCAGUCGUACCAACACCACCCUAUACCAACUCAAAACCCUAAAUUUUCAUCAUUCCUCUUUUCGAAUCACAAACUUUCUCUCUCUCGGAUUCUAUUUGCGGCGAAAAUUAAGAACCCUAGUUCCUCUAUCUUCGUCCUCACCCUCUCAAACUCAAUUCUUGAUUUUGCAUCAGAAACCUCCAUCCGACACUCACCUACUCACAUCGAUCAAUCUCACUGUCUUUUUCGGUAUGCAAGUGUGGCGUCGACUCGGUAGGGGUGGACAGGUGGUGUAGGGGUGGACGGUUUGUGGAUAGCUGGCGGGUGGAUUGUGGAUGGGUUGUGUGUGAACGGUUGAUGUGGGGACGGGUGAUGUGGGGAUGGUUGAUGUCUGGACGAGGGCGUCCUGGUAUUGGUCUGCGUGAACAUAAUUUUCGGGGUCUGGCAGGCGAGCCGUCCACAGCCAAUGGACCGAUUAAUAAUAUUGCAGUUGCUGUUGCAGUUAUGAGAGUUAUCUCAUGGUUAUAUUGGAAGCUUCUCUUAUCUAUAAAUAUGCAUACAAAGACCUCUUUUGUUGUCCUCCAUGUAACAUAUUUAUGUUUCCCUUUUCGGUUUUAAAGCAUGGAUUGUUAUUUUGUGGUUGCAUAUCAAUAGAACCUAAAUGUUGGUUCAAUCUAUUAUGCAACUUUGUGUUCCUUUUUAUCGAAUUCUCUAUAAAAUGGAUAUAGUACGUCCUUCUCAU